rnacentral:rRNA from 1 species
CCCAGACUCCUACGGGAGGCAGCAGUGGGGAAUAUUGGGCAAUGGGCGAAAGCCUGACCCAGCAACGCCGCGUGAAGGAAGAAGGCUUUCGGGUUGUAAACUUCUUUUAAGGGGGAAGAGUAGAAGACGGUACCUCUUGAAUAAGCCACGGCUAACUACGUGCCAGCAGCCGCGGUAAUACGUAGGUGGCAAGCGUUGUCCGGAUUUACUGGGUGUAAAGGGCGUGUAGCCGGCCGGCAAGUCAGAUGUGAAAUCCCGCGGCUCAACCGCGGAACUGCAUUUGAAACUGUUUUUCUUGAGUACCGGAGAGGUCAUCGGAAUUCCUUGUGUAGCGGUGAAAUGCGUAGAUAUAAGGAAGAACACCAGUGGCGAAGGCGGAUGACUGGACGGCAACUGACGGUGAGGCGCGAAAGCGUGGGGAGCAAACAGGAUUAGAUGCCCCCGUAGA